CCUACGGGAGGCAGCAGUGAGGAAUAUUGGUCAAUGGACGAGAGUCUGAACCAGCCAAGUAGCGUGAAGGAUGACUGCCCUAUGGGUUGUAAACUUCUUUUAUAUGGGAAUAAAAUGUUCCACGUGUGGGAUUUUGUAUGUACCAUAUGAAUAAGGAUCGGCUAACUCCGUGCCAGCAGCCGCGGUAAUACGGAGGAUCCGAGCGUUAUCCGGAUUUAUUGGGUUUAAAGGGUGCGUAGGUGGUUUGGUAAGUCAGUUGUGAAAGUUUGCGGCUCAACCGUAAAAUUGCAGUUGAAACUGGCAGUCUUGAGUACAGUAGAGGUAGGUGGAAUUCGUGGUGUAGCGGUGAAAUGCAUAGAUAUCACGAAGAACUCCGAUUGCGAAGGCAGCUCACUGGACUGUAACUGACGCUGAGGCUCGAAAGCGUGGGGAGCAAACAGGAUUAGAUACCCUAGUAGUC
rnacentral:rRNA from 1 species